rnacentral:rRNA from 1 species
UACGUAGGGGGCAAGCGUUGUCCGGAAUCAUUGGGCGUAAAGAGCGCGUAGGCGGCCCGAUAAGUCCGCUGUGAAAGUCAAGGGCUCAACCCUGGGAUGCCGGUCGAUACUGCCGGACUAGAGUUCGGAAGAGGCGAGUGGAAUUCCCGGUGUAGCGGUGAAAUGCGCAGAUAUCGGGAGGAACACCUAUGGCGAAGGCAGCUCGCUGGGACGUUACUGACGCUGAGACGCGAAAGCGUGGGGAGCAAACAGG